AUACAGAGGGUGCGAGCGUUAAUCGGAAUUACUGGGCGUAAAGCGCGCGUAGGCGGCUUAUUAAGUCAGAUGUGAAAUCCCCGGGCUCAACCUGGGAACUGCAUCUGAUACUGGUAAGCUACAGUUUUGGAGAGGGAAGUAGAAUUUCAGGUGUAGCGGUGAAAUGCAUAGAGAUCUGAAGGAAUACCAGUGGCGAAGGCGACUUCCUGGCCAAAAACUGACGCUGAGGUGCGAAAGCGUGGGUAGCAAACGGGAUUAGAAACCCCUAGUAGUCC
rnacentral:rRNA from 1 species